rnacentral:rRNA from 1 species
CUUCAUGUGAAUGCAAGCACAGAGACCCAUUGAAUUUAAGCAUAUAAG